CUAAGCUUGCGGAAGCCGCCCAGCGGUCUGGCCGCCGGGAUGGUGCGUCUGUACAACCUGCACCCGUUUGGGUCGCAGCAGGUAGUCCCCUGCCAGUGGGAGCCGGAGCAGGUCUGCUGCGGCGGGAGCGACGCGCUGUUCGUGGCUGCCGGCUGCAAGGUGGAGGCGUUCGCUGUUCAGGGCGAAGAGCUGUGCCGGCAGCGCUGCGCCUUCUCCACGCUAGGCAGGGUGCUGCGCAUGGCCUACAGCGAAGCCGGAGACUAUCUGGUAGCAAUUGAAGAGAAAAACAAAACUAUAUUCCUGCGUGCUUACGUGAAUUGGAGGAGUAAGAGGAGCGACAACUCCCGUGUGUGCAUUCGAAUGGUUGGCCACAAUGUGGAGGCAUCCUUCUGUGAAAGCUUUAGAGACCAGAUGUCUAUAAUUGAAAUGCCAAUGUCUGAGGCCCCUUUGUGCCUUUCGUGUUGUCCUGUGAAAGGAGAUCUUCUUGUUGGAUGUACAAAUAAGUUAGUGUUAUUUACUUUGAAGUAUGAUAUCAUUAAUGAGGAAUUCUCAAUAUUGAACUUUGAACGUUCAUUAAUUAUACACAUAGAUAACAUCACUCCUGUUGAAAUCUCUUUUUGUGUUGGAUAUGUUGCUGUCAUGUCUGAUUUAGAAGUCUUACUCCUAAAACUGGAGUCAGACCCUAUACAUGGAGAGAGUAUUAACCACCACCCACAAGAAACCAGCAAUCCACUGAAACAGGCGGAAGAUGUCAGUAAUGAAACUUCACAGCUUGAGUCAGAAGAUUUUGUUAUCUGCCUAAAACCCAUGGAACUCCUUGGUGAAAAAUGUGAACAGUCUGGAAUAUCUGUUAAACUGGAGUCCACAGGAUUAGAAGAUGAAAAAGUAAAAUAUUUACAUGUUCGGCAUCUAUUGUAUAGACGUUUUGCUCCAGAUGUCUCGUCCUAUGUCUUGUCUGAUAACAUCAAGUUACAUUCCCUUCAGCUGCUACCCAUUCACCAAAGCGGUUUUCAUCCUGAUGAAAAUGAUUUAUCGCAGAAAAAGGAGAUGCCAAAUCUCUUCUGUUUCUUCUCGUUACCUCAUGUGGGCUAUCUGUACAUGGUUGUGAAGUCUGUUGAAUUAAUGUCAGUCUAUUGGUAUCCUGAGAAGUCUCAACAAGCCGUGCUCACACCACAGUUCUUGCAUGUCAUCACAAGCCAAAGCCUGCAGUGUUUCACAGUGCGAUGCAGUGCAGCGGUGGCACAUGAGGAAGACCUAUACAUGGAUACUACACUAAAGGCUUGCCCACCUGUCAGUAUGGACGUUUGUGCUCUAAGGAUACAGCUUUUCAUAGGUUUGAAAGCCAUCUGUCACUUUAAAAACCACAUCAUACUUCUGACGAAGGCAGAGCCUGAGGCCAUUCCAGAGAGAAGAGAGUCACCCAAGAAACUUAUUUCUAGAAAAGAUGCCAGUGUUAGGAGCGGAAUCCCUCACGUGGCUGAGGCUGCAUGGAAUCUGUAUAUCGUGAAUACCACUGCACCAGUUCAGCUAUACAAAGAAAUGGUAGACUAUAGUAACAGCUACAAGACCGUGAAAACCGAGAGCUGUCUCCACUUGCUCAGUGAGGCUCAUCUGCUAGUGAGAGCUGCCCUGAUGGAUGGCAGUCAGCUGGAGCCUGCAGAGAAAUCAGAGCUCCUGGAAGCUUUUAAAGAAAGCUGUGGACACCUUGGAGACUGUUACAGCAGGCUUACCACUGAGCAAUCCCAUCUCACCUUACCAUACUAUAAGAUGUCUGGUUUGUCUCUGGCUGAAGUCUUGGCCCGUGUGGACUGGACAGAAGAGAGUGAAUCACAGAAAUAUGAGAGAGGACUAGUAUUUUAUAUUAAUCAUUCUCUUUAUGAAAACCUGGAUGAAGAAUUAAGUGAAGAGUUAGCAGCAAAAGUGGCUCAGAUAUUCCAUGUGGCUGAGCCGAAGCAACUGCCUCAUGUUCUCUCUAGCCCUGCUAUGAAGAAUAUUGAUCCCUUAACUGCCUUGCAUUAUUUAAGGAAGCUGGAUAGUUGUGGAGUUUCACCCAUCUUAGUGACCUUGACCAAGGCUGCAGUGGCCUUGAAAAUGGGACAUCUUGACAUGUACAGAAAAGAGAUGAAAAGCCAUUCGGAGAUGAAGCUGGUGUAUGGCUUCAUUCUGGAACCCCGGCUGUUAAUUCAACAGUGGAAAGGACAGAUUGUUCCUACUGAACUUGCGAUUGACUUGAAGGAAACUCAGCCUGGAUUGCUUGUGGCUUCAGUCCUGGGCUUACAGAAGAAUGAUAAAAUUGGAAUUGUAGAAACAGAUUCUUUCUUUAAGGUGCUGUGUGGAAAGGAUGAAAACACAGUUCCGCAGCUUUUGAUAGACUUCUGGGAAGCUCAGCUGGUAGCUUGUCUCCCAAAUGUGGUACUUGAGGAACUCUUUUUCAAGCUCAUCUCUCAGUAUGUUUGGAGAUUAUCCGAGAGGCAGUGCCCUGAUACCGUACCAUUGAGAACAGCAGAGGAUUUGAUAAAUGCCUGCAGUCAUUAUGGCUUAGUAAAUCCAUGGGUUCAUGUGUUAACGACCUCUGAUUCCUUAGCUGCUAAAAAUUACACAGACGACCUUCUGAAACUACAGUCCCUCAUCUGUAGCCCUUCAUUGGACGUAGCUUCCAUUAUUCCAUUUUUGGAGCCACUCUCAGAAGACACUGUUGCAGGCCUCAGUGCUCAUGCUCUCUGUCAUACACGCUUACAAGAGUAUGAACAGUGCAUAGACACGUUGCUAGAGAGAUGCCCAGAGGCCGUCAUUGCGUAUGCUAAUCAAGAACUGAAGGAAGAUCACUGGAUAGAUUCUGUGGUGGAAAAAGCUGCUGCCUGAGCUCUGUCAGAGAGUCAAGAGUGGUGGCGAGAGAUACCACCUUCACCUGUCAUUGUUAAAAGAAACCUUGUCAGUUAUUGCUGUGGGACUGGACCUGAGGGAUUUCUUGAGUGUUCUCCCAGAAGAUGGGGCGGCAGCAUUUUUCCUGCCCUACCUCCUUUUCUGCAGCCGGAAGAAAUCACUAACUUGAUGGUAUCCUUUGCAGCAUAGUGGCAUAAGUUACUGCACUUUGAAUGCUCUGCCUUAGAUAAAAUAAACUCAAAGGUUUGUGUUAAUAUGUAUUGUAGCUGCUUACCCUGUAAUUGUAGCUGUUAGCUUAAUCGAUAACCUGAUCCCAUUUACUUGUCUAAAAUGUAAAAAUCUUCAAAAUAUAAGGUCACUUCACAUGUAUUUCCUUUUGGUUUUUAUUUAUUUAUUUUUUUUUACUCUAUUCUGUGUGAGUCUGGUACCAUGAACCUUGUGCUGACCUCAAUCUGUGCGAGCCUUAUAGGUGCAAAAGGCCACAAAUGUAAUUUCCAAACCAGACUCAGGCUUCUAUUGUGAGAAAUAGCUUGGCCUCAGUGCUGAAGGCAUGACAAUCAUGUCCACCUAGGGUCAUUGGAAGGAAAUGCAUCACAAAUUGCUCAAAUGCCCUUCUUACUUGUCAAAUAAUAUCUUGAUUGUUACAGAUUUAUCUUCUGGGUUACUAGUUUGUAUUUUUAUGUAAGUAUAAAAAAGAUUUAAUGUGCCACCCCAGUGAAAGACCACAUACUUGGCUGUGGAACUACUUCUGAAACUCAUGGUAUCUUUCUCUCAGAAUCAGAUAAAUGGACUCUUGUUUGACUGUUAACAUGACUUGUUUACACAUAUUUUCAGCCAAAGUCUUGUUUCUAUUCUUUAUAUGUAUAUACCCUAUCCUUUCAACCCAUAGUAUACGAGAAAAUAAAAAAUUAUCAUGAUAUUCAAA